rnacentral:rRNA from 1 species
GACGAACGCUGGCGGCGCGCCUAACACAUGCAAGUCGAACGAGCGAGCGAGAGCUUGCUUUCUCGAGCGAGUGGCGAACGGGUGAGUAACGCGUGAGGAACCUGCCUCAAAGAGGGGGACAACAGUUGGAAACGACUGCUAAUACCGCAUAAGCCCACGGCUCGGCAUCGAGCAGGGGGAAAAGGAGCAAUCCGCUUUGAGAUGGCCUCGCGUCCGAUUAGCUAGUUGGUGAGGUAACGGCCCACCAAGGCGACGAUCGGUAGCCGGACUGAGAGGUUGAACGGACACAUUGGGACUGAGACACGGCCCAGACUCCUACGGGAGGCAGCAGUGGGGAAUAGUGCACAAUGGGGGAAACCCUGAUGCAGCGACGCCGCGUGGAGGAAGAAGGUCUUCGGAUUGUAAACUCCUGUUGUUGGGGAAGAUAAUGACGGUACCCAACAAGGAAGUGACGGCUAACUACGUG